CCACUGUGUAGUCAAGAAGGAGAUUCGUCAAAGUGGGAAGAUGCAGACACACAAGUCUGGGCCAUCCACAUUAAACAUCUAAGAGGGGGAAACAAACCCCCUCAUUUUCCUGCAGGAGUAGACAUGAGUAAGAGAUGUCAGUGCAGCUAUGACAUCUGUUUACAUGGGGAUUUUAUGCACCUGUUCACUAGGCAAUAACAAAUGCUUACCAUGGUGGUAGCUGUAUCACACGGUACAUAUGCUGCUUCUGACAUACAUAACACCUCUUUAAGGAAACACAUGGCCCCAUAUGUCAUGAGAACUUGUUUACAUUCUACAAUACAGUAAUGGAAAAUAUGUUUCAUAAUAAAUGUUUUCAUCAUUUUUGUGUUUAAGGAAAGAAUGGGAGUUUUAUGCCCUAGCUGUCAAGCUGAGUGUCCUCCCUCAUUGUUCUCAUUGAGAGAUAUGUGGCUUUGGAGCAAACUUCCUACAAGCUUUUCAAGUUCAGGGAAGCUGGGAUCUCAACUGGUCAGUUUCAAUGGCUGAUGCUCAUGAAAAAGUGUUUCCAGUUCAUACACAGGAAUCUUUGUCCUUGCUUCACUUCUCACUGCUGAGGACCAGUAAACCUACAGAAGAGCAUCUGCUGGACCCUUCGUGGAGAAGCAGACAUGUGGAAUCCUUGCAAAUGUAAAAGCCAGGAGGGGGUCAGGCCCCAGAUGAUGUAUUUUGACUAACUACUUCUGCAGAGCAAUUCUUUCUUUAGCAGAGACUGCUCUGUGUCCUCCUCUUUCUUCACAAUCCUGUGACAGCCCAACAUAGCCUGGAGCCCCCCCCGUGCUGUGCAAGGGAUGAACACACGGUGAGAGACAGUUCCUGGCCUGGAACAUUUACAAUCUAAAUAGAUGUGGCAGGAAAUGCCAUAGGACCCUGUUCCAAUUUACCCCUUUAAGCCAUGCACACAGUUGUUUGCUUGGAUCUCAAGGAGAUUAAAGGAUGAGGGGACUAUAAAUGCCACUGGAUUUCUUCCCUUACAGAGCUUGUGGAGAUGAAUCCUGCGUCAGCAGUCACAACUGGACAAAUGACCUGGUUGGAAAGGCACAAGCCACAGCCAGCUCUCCCUGCUGACUCCUGCUUCCUGUGCAAGUCUGUGGAAUUGGUGCCUCAGGCCAUCCUGAUACCUGCAGGACUGCAGGUAAAUCACUGCUGCCAUCAGGGAACUCCCAGCCAACCUUGCUGUGUCUCGUCUCUUCCCUAUCUGUGUGGCUGACCUGGUCCCCAGCCAGGGAUCAUUCUCCAGCUGGGAAUUUGGCUUUCUAGCAGCAGUCUGCUCUUUUUGUGAAAGCAAGGAGUCAGGUAAACAGCUUCUGCCUGCUCCGAUGUUAUUGUAGAGUAUUUCUCUGGAGGGUGUUCCUCAGCCUGAGCUCCAGGGGAGCCAUCUACAUGUGCUGAACACUCCUCAAGUGAACUACUGACCUCCACCCAUCCAACACCUGCAACACCUGUGAGCUGCUCAGCCAUGGCCACCGGGCCACUGAGUGACACCUAGUGAGAUGUGCCCGCAACAGCUUGGAGGAAACUGGGUGGCUUUUUCAUAGACUUUAAAAUGAAAGAGGAAUAAAACCUCUUCUGACAGAGGUAAAGCUGGAAGCAAUUCCAAGCCUUUCUGGAGCAGAAAGGCUGCUCCUGACUGUUAUUCCCAGGAACAAGCACUGUCAUCUACUGAACACUUCAACCACACUAAAGAAGGCACCUGGACUCAGAACAUAAAGCUAGGCUCUGUUUUCUCAAGUUGGAUGUUCUGGUAUUUCUGGUGCAUCCUGCAUAUGUAGGAGCAGCAAAAUUUGUCUUGGGGAGCAGAGGCACCAGCUCGGAGAGGGGACAGAUGGUGAACGUUACGGAGACCAAACUACGGCUCCAUCUUCCCAGAGAGAGCAGGUCCUGCAAGAACAAGAGAAGAUAUCAGUUAAAUUGUCACAAAUAAGCCCCAAACUGUUGUGAAAGAGCAACUGAUUUCCUAAAUUAAUCUGUAAGGAGAAAGAAAUGUUCUGGCAGUCCUUUUUUGAUAUUUCAAGGCUCAGUGGGAUAUCCAGCCCUACCAAGCAUGGCGUGUCUGCUGAACUGGAGACUAUCAUAGAAAUACUUGUUCCUCAUGUACAGACCAGGAAGCUGGAGUCAAGUAUUCCUCCUGUUGGACAAAUGCCUCUGGAAUUCCACUAAUUGCUUGGCACAUCUGACAGAGCAGGCAGAAGAAUCCCAGCCUUCAUUUCCUGUAGUCUGCCUGCAUGGAGCAUGGCUUUGGAGAUACUGCUCCCUGCUUCAGCUCAAGUAGUGGCAGGGGAGAAGGGGCAUCUACCUGAACACUUGAAAAAAUGUAGCUAGAAGGAAAGAUUUGAAAACAAACAGUGUUGGGAUAAGCUUAUUUUUGGACUUAAAAGCGUUUGUUGUAGAAGCAUUGCCUAGAUUUUUAACAAGGAUUUAUCUUAGCUUGCAACUCAUCUAGCUUUGGUUUGUAUCUUGAAGGUGUUUUUACUGAGUAGUGGUAAAACAAAAGAAAAACUGAUGUGGAAGAGUUUAAUGGAUCUUGAAAGAAAAUAAAGUUGUGGCUUUCUGGUACCCGGACACCUAAUCAUUUUCUGUGAUAUUGUAAUUAAUCUUGUCAGUGUCUUGUCAGUGCCUUGCCAUGAAUAAAUUAUAUAGGAAGGAAAUAGUGGUCUAUCAUAACCCCUGUCCAUUUUUAGCUAAAAACAUACCUGUGAUUACCUGUCUGAAUAGAAUUAACUUUAUUUAUAAAAAGUAGACAAGGGCUAGCUUGCUAAUGGGGCUUUUUUGUCUAGCUGGGACUUGAUCAGAAGUAGCUAUGGCUGCAAUUACACACAGAGUCACUUUUGUGAAUUUGAAAACCCUAUGGGUUUCUUUCCCCUGUGGAGAGUGUAUGCAUCAUUUCCAUGCAGAAUUCCAGUUGUCCAGAUUAAAGAGCACAAACUGGACUUUUGAAGUUUUCCAGGGCUUAUCAUCUAUGCCACGCCUUCCUACACUUAGCUGACACAACGAAUAAAAAACAAGUGCCAAAAUCUGGGAAAUCUAUGACUGGAUUGCUCUGCGCAUCUAUGCUAACCUGUGCAUCACCUUUCUUUGUGCAAUUGUUCAAGAGUCUACUAGAAAAUCCUGCCCUUUUGAAUGGGAAUUUUGCCAGCUGCAUUAACUGGGACAAGAUUAUUGACUGUCUGAGGGAAGGCUUAGAAGAUUUCUGCUCCAGAUUACCUGAAUGCUGUCCAGCUCCUGAUAGUGGAAGGUCCCCAGCAUGGAUGGAUCAGUGUGAGGAGGCAAAAGCUUCGAGUUUGAAAACAUUGAGGAUGCAGUUGCCUAUUUCCAGCAUGAUGAGAGAGACACAGCAAAGGACUGGGCUGCUCUAAGACUAUUUGAUGGAAGGCAAAGCAUUAGGCACAGGCUUCCCUCAGGCAAUGGUGUCCCACUGCCAUCCCACCAACAGAUGACAACCUGGUUUGUCUACCAUCACCAUUUUGAAGAAGAGGUCUUUUCAUGACUUCAUUUUAUCUGAUAAUCAAGAAUUGCCUAAUCUUUGAUGCUCAUGUAUGCUGUUUCAAUUCAUUCCUUGCAACACUUUAACAAAUAUAGAAAAUUAAUAGAAAUGUCAAGACAAUGUUAAAAAACAAUGCUUGAAAGAGAAUUUUUAUGAACUGAUGAGCUGAGAGCUGAUCUGGUGCCAGUAGAGUGGGAUCAGUCUGGAUUUCCACAUUUUUCAGCCAUCUCUUAGACUGUUGUUCCUUCAUGUUACAUGAGCCAGAGGGAGCCUGGAACUACACACAACUCGUCAAAGAAACUUGCACCAUCACAAGGCGUCAGCUUUGCUCUCCAGAGACCAAAUCUCCAGACAAUCAACUCUGUGUGGAAGCUAAUUUUUGCAGCCUAAAAGCCAACCAAACAAAACAUGUCCUGCUGCUUCAGACCUGACAUCUUUCAGAUAGGAGAAAGAUUGAUUCCAGAAAUCCAUGAGCCUCAAAAACCACCACAGUGGGGUGAUACCCCACUUAUCCCCUGUUUCUGAUGGCACAGAGGAAAGCAUCUCUGUAGUCUCUUCCUGAGAAGGCACAGCAGCUUCACUUCUACCUCAACAGUCUUAGACAGACAGCAGGUGACAGCCCAGUGCCAAGGGUCCACCACAGCCAUUCCUCCUCAGACAGGCAAGCAAUUCCCAAGGUUUGACAUCCUGCCCCACCAGAAGCUUUGGCCAUGGGACACACCCUU